rnacentral:sRNA from 1 species
GGGUGUUGCCUCCAUUGUCAUAGCUCCAUAUGCAACCCUCCUGAAGCUGCGUACUCAGUGGAAAGUGGUGAACAUUGCAGAUAGGAGCACACUGUUCUUCAGUCAAGGGUANAAGAUGGUUGUACUCUCCUGCUAGAACCUCCAAACAAGGUCGAUGUUAGUUACCUAAAGUAAGGAGUCCAGGAUUAACUCUUCUGAAGUGCAGUUUUCUGUACCACU